GCGGCCGCAAGGGACACAGCCCGGACCCCGCUCCCUCGGGGCGGCGAAGGGAGCCCGGCAUGCCCUCGGCCCAAAGCAGACAAGCCGAAGGAGAAGCGGCAGCGCACCGAGCAGCUGAGCGCCGAGGAGCGCGAGGCGGCCAAAGAGGCGAGGAAAGUGAGCCGGGGCAUCGACCGCAUGCUGCGCGAGCAGAAGCGCGACCUGCAGCAGACGCACCGGCUCCUGCUGCUCGGCACUUCGGGAGCAUCUAGAGAGCGUGAUUUGGAGUCUGCUGGCCAGGAGGCCACAGGAGAAACACAGGUCAGCCCCAGAGUCAUAGAGCACACAUUUGCCUCGACCCCAGCUGUAUUUUCUUUUCUGGGAAAAUAUCAGCCACUGGAAUUAGGCCAGACACAGAAAUCCGUAGAUACAAAGCUCGCCAGCAGAGCAAGACUCAGAACGCAAGAGUGGCCC
rnacentral:sRNA from 1 species